rnacentral:rRNA from 1 species
UACGUAGGGUGCAAGCGUUGGCCGGAAUUAUUGGGCGUAAAGAGCUCGUAGGCGGUCUGUCGCGUCGAAUGUGAAAACCCGGGACUCAACUCCGGGCCUGCAUUCGAUACGGGCAGACUAGAGUUCGGUAGGGGAGACUGGAAUUCCUGGUGUAGCGGUGAAAUGCGCAGAUAUCAGGAGGAACACCGGUGGCGAAGGCGGGUCUCUGGGCCGAUACUGACGCUGAGGAGCGAAAGCGUGGGGAGCAAACAGG